rnacentral:rRNA from 1 species
CUCGUAGGUGGCCAACUAAGUCAGACGUGAAAUCCCUCGGCUUAACCGGGGAACUGCGUCUGAUACUGGAUGGCUUGAGUUUGGGAGAGGGACGCGGAAUUCCAGGUGUAGCGGUGAAAUGCGUAGAUAUCUGGAGGAACACCGGUGGCGAAGGCGGCGUCCUGGACCAACACUGACACUGAGGAGUGAAAGCCAGGGGAGCAAACG